rnacentral:rRNA from 1 species
GACGAACGCUGGCGGCGUGCUUAACACAUGCAAGUCGAGCGGUAAGGCCCUUUCGGGGGUACACGAGCGGCGAACGGGUGAGUAACACGUGGGUGACCUGCCCUCAGCUCUGGGAUAAGCCUGGGGAACUGGGUCUAAUACCGGAUAUGACUCCAUGACGCAUGUUGUGGGGUGGAAAGCCUUGUGCGGCUGAGGAUGGGCCCGCGGCCUAUCAGCUUGUUGGUGGGGUGANGGCCUACCAAGGCGACGACGGGUAGCCGGCCUGAGAGGGCGACCGGCCACACUGGGACUGAGACACGGCCCAGACUCCUACGGGAGGCAGCAGUGGGGAAUCUUGCGCAAUGGGCGAAAGCCUGACGCAGCGACGCCGCGUGAGGGAUGACGGCC